CCUACGGGAGGCAGCAGUGAGGAAUAUUGGUCAAUGGGCGGAAGCCUGAACCAGCCAAGUAGCGUGCAGGAUGACGGCCCUACGGGCUGUAAACUGCUUUUAUACGGGAAUAACGCGCCUUACGUGUAGGGCUUUGCAUGUACCGUAUGAAUAAGGACCGGCUAAUUCCGUGCCCGCAGCCGCGGUAAUACGGAAGGUCCGGGCGUUAUCCGGUUUUGUUGGGUUUAAAGGGAGGGGAGGCCGGUUGUCAAGGGUGCUGUGAAAUGUCCGGGCUCAACCCAGGCCAUGCAGCGCAAACUGGCGUGCUUGAGUCCGCGGAAGGCGGGCGGAAUUCGUCGUGUAGCGGUGAAAUGCUUAGAUAUGACGAGGAACCCCGAUUGCGAAGGCAGCUUGCUGCAGCGGAACUGACGCUGAUGCUCGAAAGCGCGGGUAUCGAACAGGAUUAGAUACCCCUGUAGUC
rnacentral:rRNA from 1 species